UUAAAAAUAUUUUCCUUUUUUAUUCCCCAAAUGGUGCCAGCUGUGCAAUUUUGCUUCCAGCCAGAAUAUUGCUUUCAACUUCCACUGAGUGUUUUUUCCCUGCAUUAAGCAAGCUAUUUUGGAUGACAUUUGCCAUAGCCUGAGAGAAUACUGAAAUGUGCUUACAUAUUGCAAGACAUAAAAUUACUACAUGUGAUUAGAUAUGCAAUGAAUAAAUUGCAAUCAUUUUAGAUUUUUAAAGUUUUUUUUCUUAAAGUCCCUUUCUUUAAUUUUUUUUUCUAUUCUGUGGUCUUUAAGAGAAUAAGUGAGGGGGUUCCCCUCUUGUACUGUAAGAUAUUUGUAGACAUUGCCCCAAAUACCACCUGGAUCCCCAAGAACAAGGUGGGAACAGCCCUUUUGAAGGACAUCAUAGAACAGUGUCUCUGUACUGACCACGGACUCAGUACAUCAAGGCUUUUCCCGUUCUGCAUGUGUUGUCUCCUAUUGCAUUUUCUAUUCUUUCAGCCGAUUGGCUUAUUUUCUCACCUCAGCAAACCCAAUCUCAUCACCUCUCAGUACUCUCCCCAUUCAAGGACAGCUAGUCUUACAGAUCAACCUCUCCUGACCCUUCCUUCCUAGACUCUCUCCCCUGAACUGGCCACUCAGGUACCCUGGCCAACAUCCCUUCCACAUCCUCAGUAUCCUGAGAGCAAGGAAGGAAGGGAAAGGAGGGGAAGACAGAAACACUCAAGGUCUUACUUGAUUUUUUAAAGACAAUGGGCAGAACGCUUUGAUUACUAAGCAGGGCCCUAAGGACUCCAAACUCCAGCCAUAGCAGUUUGGUUUCAAGUGUGGUGGCUUACGUGACUUUGCUCUCCUGUUCCACUGAAGCAUUUGGGUAAUAUACACACUUUUUCUUCUUGGCUAGGGGGUAAUGUACACACCUUUUCUUCUUGGCUAGGGGGUAAUGUACACACCUUUUCUUCUUGGCUAGGGGGUAAUAUACAUACCUUUUCUUCUUGGCUAGGGGGUAAUAUACAUACCUUUUCUUCUUGGCUAGGGGGUAAUAUACACACCUUUUCUUCUUGGCUAGGGGGUAAUGUACACACCUUUUCUUCUUGGCUAGGGGGUAAUAUACAUACCUUUUCUUCUUGGUUAGGGGUAAUAUACAUACCUUUUCUUCUUGGUUAGGGGUAAUAUACAUACCUUUUCUUCUUGGUUAGGGGUAAUAUACAUACCUUUUCCUCUUGGUUAGUGAGUUCUGCUUGAGUUCUGAUUUAUUGAGGAUUGAUUACAGUGGGGCAUCAGAGAGGCCUGGCCAACUAUGAAUGAACUGACCUACACUCAAGCAUAUACAGCUCUGAAUUAUGGCCCCUCCUACUCUCUCCUCUUCCCACUCUCUCCCUCUCUUUUGUGCCUCUGUCUCCCCCACACCAGGCUCUCUCUCUCUUAACAUAGGAUUUGAAAAAACAAAUAUAUAUGUCUGUAGCGGUUUGAAUGAGAAUAGCCCCCAUUGGUCUAUAUGUUUCAAUGCUUGGUGCCCAGUUAGUGGAGCUAUUUGGGAAGGAUUAGAUGGUAUGGUCUUUGAAUAGGUGUGACAUUUUUGGAGGAGUUGUGUCAUGGGGUGGGCUUUGAGGUUUCAAAAGCUCAUGCCAAGCCCUGUCUGUCUGUCUGUCUGUCUGUCUGUCUGUCUGUCUGUGCCUCCCUCCAGCUUCCCCUACCUCCACCUCAAGGCCUUUGCCUCUGCCUCUGCCUCUUUUUACAACUUUUGAAUCAGAAAUGAGCUUGCAGCUACUGUUCAAGCACUGUGCCUGGCUGCCUGCUGCCAUCUUCCCUGCCAUGAAGGCCAUGGAUACCGGAGAGUUCACAGUGGCCGAAGAGGCAUGGCAGCAUGCUGCUGGAUCACAGAGCCUAUUAAUCCCAUCUUCAACAGCAAACACAGAGAGGAGCAUGAACUGGAAGGGGGCCAAGGUUAUGAACUCUCAACCCUGCCCCCAUGAAUUUACUUUCUUCAUCAAGGCUCCAACUCUUAAAGGUCCCACAACCUUUCUCAAACGGUGCCAGGAACUAUAUUUCUUAUUCAAAGUAUCACAUAAAAUAAAAAGAAAAUUAUGUUA